UACGUAGGGAGCAAGCGUUGUCCGGAAUCAUUGGGCGUAAAGCGCGCGUAGGUGGCUUCGUAAGUCCGUUGUGAAAGUCAAAGGCUCAACCUUUGAAAGCCGAUGGAUACUGUGAAGCUAGAGUACGGAAGAGGCGAGUGGAAUUCCUGGUGUAGCGGUGGAAUGCGCAGAUAUCAGAAGGAACACCAAUAGCGAAGGCAGCUCGCUGGGACGUUACUGACACUGAGGCGCGAAAGCGUGGGGAGCGAACAGG
rnacentral:rRNA from 1 species